rnacentral:rRNA from 1 species
UACGUAGGGGGCAAGCGUUGUCCGGAUUUAUUGGGCGUAAAGAGCUCGUAGGCGGUUCGGUAAGUCAGGUGUGAAAUCUCCACGCUCAACGUGGAGGGCCACCUGAUACUGCCGUGACUCGAGUCCGGUAGGGGAGUGUGGAAUCCCGGUGUAGCGGUGAAAUGCGCAGAUAUCGGGAGGAACACCAGUAGCGAAGGCGGCACUC